CUCCUCCUCCUCGAUAGCCUCCUCCCCCUCCUCCACCUCCACGGUAUGUGGGAGUAUAUAUCCGAUGGCCGUUCAUCGCUUCUUCAUUGCACAAAAGGCGGGCCGGGUGGGCCUGGAGGUCCUGGAGGCCCAGGUGGACAUGCACAGGAGCCGUUGAGAAGCGGAAGAUAAUCCAGGAGGAGUUCAAAUUGCUCUUGAAAUCUUUGAAUGUGAGCUCUCUCCGCGGCGGAAUAAGAGCGCGGAUCCAAACCGUAGUAAGGGUUCAAAGAAGCCAAAACUUCCUUGUGCUGGCAUAGUUUCCAUUAAAAAUCAUCAAACAGCUGCCGUUACAUGAACGAUACAUACCUUCAUUAUAGACACAGAUCAGACGAGUUCGGAUGGAAAAUGGAUUCUGUGCGGAAUCUUAUGACGAAUGCGAUGUUCUAGUGAAACGGAACUGUGACAUGCUGUCGAUCUAGCGAAUUAAAAGAGUUGAGUCAAGAUUUAAAAUGUGUUGGAAGAGUUUAAUCUGGAUACUAUUUACAGUUAGGUUAUGGAGGAAAGGAUACCAGAGAUGUUGUGCCACGAACUACCCGCAGUUGGACACUGACUCACGUUGAGAGAUUGUCGGCCGAUUAUGAAGAAGAGAUAAAAUAAGAGUUUGAUCUUCGCGACGGGACCUGGUUCAGGCGAGAUGCUGGCUUCCGGCACCCGAGUGUCCCUAAUCUCAUUCUAAUUGGGAUCAUCGCAUCUCCGGGGAUCGUCAAACACGUUAUAAAUGAAAGUGCAGCCAAAGAUUCACUCGCGGAAAUGUGAGAUGGGAAAACGAGGUUGGCGUCUUCUAGAGAUGGAUAUUUUGACAACACAAGCUUUCUCUUUUCACUUCACCUCAUUAGCGUUUUCUACGCUGGAGAAAGGAUAAGUCACGCAUUACUGCUGAAUUGUUUUCCCAGAAUCACAGUGGUGUCCCAGUUUAAUUACUGAGUGGAAAGCAGUAUCAACAUCGCUGCUAGCUGAUGAGCUGAAGAUUUGAUCUCUUUCAGCGCUUGAUGCAGCGUAAUCAAAUCAAGCACGCAGGAAAUAUUUGGCUUCCGGCCAUUUCGCGUCCUUAAUCUCAUUCUGAUUGAAAAUAGAGAGACGGUUCAAUUAGCAUCUAGACUCUUCGCACGCUUUUUAGAUUUGUUACUUUCGAUCCACAGAAUUCGCUUUCAGCUUUCACCAACUACAUCUUCCCAAAUGUUUUCUCCUCCGACUGCUUUGUCAAUACAGUGAUUUGCUUCCAACGAGAUUCGAAAUGUUUCUCGCCCAGCGAGCACUGUAGUUUUAUAGAUUAUGUUGCAUUUAACUUUUACCAGUCUAUAAUUUUUUGGCUAGAUAGGCUUAUAGAUUCGAUGCCUGAAACGGCUGGAUUGAAUUAAAUUUAAGCACUACAUGAGACAAUAAUCGUUAAAUUUCUUUUUUACAAUAAGGUUUGCAAUUUCCCGUUUCCUCUAGAUAUCCUGAACGGAAUAAUAAUGACAAGAGUUGGAAUCGAUUAAAUUCACAUCGAGAUGUGCACUCAACGGUCAUCAUCUUCGCUUAACACUAAAAUGAUCCGUGUCUGAUUCCUUGCUCGUCCAAUUGUGUAAUGACCCCUAAGAUGUUUUCAUAUUUCAUAUGACCUUGUAUGUCUUGCAUGUCCGCUCUUCAUUAAUAAUGUACAAUACACAGUC